rnacentral:pre_miRNA from 1 species
AUAUUACUCGCUCCAUCCAGAAUUACUUGUCGCAGAAAUGGAUGUAUCUAGAUGUAUUUUUUGUUUUAGAUACAUUCAUUUCUAUCCAUUUAUACGACGAGUAAUUCGGGACGGAAGGAGUACUAC